GUGAACGCUGGCGAUCGGCCUAACACCUGCAAGUCGCACGGCAGCACAGUAAGAGCUUGCUCUUACGGGUGGCGAGUGGCGGACGGGUGAGGAAUACAUCGGAAUCUACUUUUUCGUGGGGGAUAACGUAGGGAAACUUACGCUAAUACCGCAUACGACCUACGGGUGAAAGCAGGGGAUCUUCGGACCUUGCGCGAUUGAAUGAGCCGAUGUCGGAUUAGCUAGUUGGCGGGGUAAAGGCCCACCAAGGCGACGAUCCGUAGCUGGUCUGAGAGGAUGAUCAGCCACACUGGAACUGAGACACGGUCCAGACUCCUACGGGAGGCAGCAGUGGGGAAUAUUGGACAAUGGGCGCAAGCCUGAUCCAGCCAUACCGCGUGGGUGAAGAAGGCCUUCGGGUUGUAAAGCCCUUUUGUUGGGAAAGAAAAGCAGCAGGUUAAUACCCCGCUGUUCUGACGGUACCCAAAGAAUAAGCACCGGCUAACUUCGUG
rnacentral:rRNA from 1 species